GGUAUAAAAUUGUUAAAUUAAUAUAUAUUAUAUAAUUAUUAUAGUUUAUUCAUACUUUUAUUAAGUAUAACAUAAGAUUUUGUGAUAUCCACUAGUGUAAAUAUUUUAAAUUGAAGAUCGAAUUCAUUCUUUUUAUUCAUAUAGGGUCAAGGAGUGUAGCUGUAAAAAAUCAUCAAAAUCGGAGUUAAAAUAACUGUUAAAUCAUGAUUUUUCGUUUUAUAACCGUCGAAAAGUUUUGUCUCGUUACUUGAUCUCUGAAUGUUUGUUUUUUUACAAUUUUUGGCGUAUGGGAUCUCGAAGUAUAUACAAACAUGUUUGACUGUUGGAUCGUUGAAACUAGUUUCGUAGAAUGCGUGUAUCUCAUCAAAACAAUAGAUUUACUAACACUUAAAAGUUUAUUCAUACUUUCAUUAAGUAUAACAUAAGAUUUUUUUUUAUCCACUAGUGUAAAUAUUUUAAUUGAAGAUCGAAUUCAAUCAUUGUAUUCAUAUAGGGUCAAGGAGUGUAGCUGCAAAAAAUCAUCAAAAUCGGAGUUAAAAUGAUCGUUAAAUCGGGAUUUUUCUUUUUAUAACCGUCGAAAAGUUUUGUCCCGUUCCUUGACCUCUGAAUGUUUGUUUUUUACAAUUUUUGGCGUAUGCGAUCUCGAAGUAUAUACAAACAUUUUUUACAGUUGGAUCAUUGAAACUAAUUUCGUAGAAUGAGCAUCCCAUCAAAAUAAUAGAUUCACUAAUACUUAAGAGUUUAUUCAUACUUUCAUCAAGUAUAACACAAGAUUUUGUGGUAUCCACUAGUGUAAAUAUUUUAAAUUGAAGAUUGAAUUUAUUCAUUGUAUUCAUAUAGGGUCAAGGAGUGUAGCUGUAAAAAAUCAUCAAAAUCGGAGUUAAAAUAACCGUUAAAUCGUGAUUUUUCGUUUAUAACCGUCGAAAAGUUUUAUCCCAUUACUUUAUCUCUGAAUGUUUUUUUUUUUUGCAAUUUUUGGCGUAUGCGAUCUCGAAGUAUAUACAAACAUGUUUGACGGUUGGAUCAUUGAAACUAGUUUCGUAGAAUGAGUAUCCCAUCAAAACAAUAGAUUAACUAAUACUUACGAAUUUAUUUGUACUUUCAUUAAGUAUAACAUAAAAUUUUGUGGUAUUCACUAGUGUAAAUAUUUUAAAUUGAAGAUCGAAUUCAUUCAUUGUAUUCAUAUAGGGUCAAAGAGUGUAGCUAUAAAAAAAUCAUCAAAAUCAGAGUUAAAAUAACCGUUAAAUAGUGAUUUUUCGUUUAUAACCGUCGAAAAGUUUUGUCUCGUUACUUUAUCUCUGAAUGUUUGUUUUUUGCAAUUUUUGGUGUUUGCGAUCUCGAAGUAUAUACGAACAUGUUUGACGGUUGGAUCAUUGAAACUAGUUUCGUAGAAUGAGUAUCCUAUCAAAACAAUAGAUUCACUAAUACUUAAGAGUUUAUUCAUACUUUCAUUAAGGAUAACAUAAGAUUUUGUGGUAUCCACUAGUGUUAAUAUUUUAAAUUGAAGAUUGAAUUUAUUCAUUGUAUUCAUAUAGGAUUAAGAACUGUAGCUAUAAAAAAUAAUCAAAAUCGGAGUUAAAAUAACCGUUAAAUUGUAAUUUUUUGUUUUAUAACCAUUGAAACGUUUUGGUCGGUUACUUGAUCUAUGAAUGUUUGUUUUUUGCAAUUUUUUGCUGAUACGAUCUCGAAGCAUAUACAAACAAGUUUGACGGUUGGAUCUUUGAAAUUAGUUUUGUAUAUUUCGUAUCCCAUCAAGUUCAAUGGUGUGUGUGUGUGUGUGUAUAUAUAUAUAUAUAUAUUAAGUAGAUUUAAAUCUAUUUAUUUUGUACGUAUAAUUGACCGGUACACGGAGUAGUACAUCCCGUGUCAUUAUAAAAAUAAUGGGAUAUGUCAUAUGUGUGAUAAAAAGUUAAUAACUUAAAAAAAAAAAAAUUUCUCACCACUUUUAUUAAUUUUCAUUUUCCCUCUUUUUUUUUGUUUCCUUUUCAGCUUUUCUUAUAAUUUUCAUUUUUCCCUUCCUUUUUUUUCUUCAAAGGGCAGCAGCCUACCCAUCUUUCCCUCUCGUUUUUUGUUUCCUUUUCAGCUUUUCUUAUAAUUUUCAUUUUCCCUCCCUUUUUCUUCAAAGGGUGCGGCAAGAAUGGAAUUGAAUUAUGGAAUCAAUGGAUGCAUAUUAAUUAAUAAUUAUUAUGGUUUUUAUAAAAUUUAAUUUAAAAUAUA
rnacentral:lncRNA from 1 species